rnacentral:rRNA from 1 species
CGGCGAACGGGUGAGUAACGCGUGGAUAACCUGCCCAGAGGUGGGGGAUAACCCGGGGAAACUCGGGCUAAUACCGCAUAUGACCGUGAGGUCAAAGGCGGCUCGCAAGGGCUGUCGCCAUUGGAGGGGUCCGCGUACGAUUAGCUAGUUGGUAGGGUAAUGGCCUACCAAGGCGACGAUCAUUAGCCGGCCUGAGAGGGUGAUCGGCCACACUGGAACUGAGACACGGUCCAG